ACUGGGUGCGGUGGCACACGCCUGUUAUCCCAGCGACUCAGGAGGCUGAGGCAGGAGGAUCGCAAGUUCAAGGCCAGCCUGGGCAACUUAGUGAGACCCUGUCUCAA
rnacentral:sRNA from 1 species